rnacentral:rRNA from 1 species
GAUUAACGCUGGCGGCGUGCCUAACACAUGCAAGUCGAGCGGCAGCGAGUUUUACACUGAAUUCUGGAAGCUUCUAGUCGAAAGAGAAGAUUUAUUCAAGAAUUUUGUGUAAAAUGUCGGCGAGCGGCGGACGGCUGAGUAACGCGUGGGAACGUACCCCAAAGUGAGGGAUAACGCAUCGAAAGGUGUGCUAAUACCGCAUAUGGUCUUCGGAUUAAAGCCUUCGGGCGCUUUGGGAACGGCCUGCGUAAGAUUAGAUAGUUGGUGGGGUAAUGGCCUACCAAGUCGACGAUCUUUAACUGGUUUGAGAGGAUGAUCAGUCAGACUGGAACUGAGACACGGUCCAGACUCCUACGGGAGGCAGCAGUGAGGAAUCUUCCACAAUGGGCGAAAGCCUGAUGGAGCAACGCCGCGUGCAGGAUGAAGGCCUUCGGGUUGUAAACUGCUUUUAUAAGUGAGGAUUAUGACAGUAACUUAUGAAUAAGGAUCGGCUAACUACGUGCCAGCAGCCGCGGUCAUACGUAGGAUCCGAGCGUUAUCCGGAGUGACUGGGCGUAAAGAGUUGCGUAGGUGGUUCAAUAAGCGAAUAGUGAAAGCUGGUGGCUCAACCAUUCAGAUUAUUAUUCGAACUGUUGAACUCGAGAGCAGAAGAGGUAGCUGGAAUUUCUAGUGUAGGAGUGAAAUCCGUAGAUAUUAGAAGGAACACCGAUGGCGUAGGCAGGCUACUGGGCUGUUUCUGACAUUGAGGCACGAAAGCGUGGGGAGCGAACCGG